rnacentral:rRNA from 1 species
GGCGAACGGGUGAGUAACACGUGGGUGAUCUGCCUCGCACUCUGGGAUAAGCCUGGGAAACUGGGUCUAAUACCGGAUAUGACCUUACAUCGCAUGGUGUUUGGUGGAAAGAUUUAUCGGUGCGAGAUGGGCCCGCGGCCUAUCAGCUUGUUGGUGGGGUAAUGGCCUACCAAGGCGACGACGGGUAGCCGGCCUGAGAGGGCGACCGGCCACACUGGGACUGAGACACGGCCCAGACUCCUACGGGAGGCAGCAGUGGGGAAUAUUGCACAAUGGGCGAAAGCCUGAUGCAGCGACGCCGCGUGAGGGAUGACGGCCUUCGGGUUGUAAACCUCUUUCGACAGGGACGAAGCGCAAGUGACGGUACCUGUAGAAGAAGCACCGGCCAACUACGUGCCAGCAGCCGCGGUAAUACGUAGGGUGCGAGCGUUGUCCGGAAUUACUGGGCGUAAAGAGCUUGUAGGCGGCUUGUCGCGUCGAUCGUGAAAACUUGGGGCUCAACCCCAAGCUUGCGGUCGAUACGGGCAGGCUUGAGUACUUCAGGGGAGACUGGAAUUCCUGGUGUAGCGGUGAAAUGCGCAGAUAUCAGGAGGAACACCGGUGGCGAAGGCGGGUCUCUGGGAAGUAACUGACGCUGAGAAGCGAAAGCGUGGGUAGCGAACAGGAUUAGAUACCCUGGU